rfam:Clostridium proteolyticum DSM 3090 genome assembly, contig: EJ39DRAFT_scaffold00003.3
AUAAUUACUUUAUUAUGUGGUGUAGUAUUCUAGUCAGGUAAGUAUCUCUGAGGGCGGGGCUAAAAAUCCGUUAAAGGGCAUAUCGAUGAAGUUCCUUGUGCUGGCUUUCGACGCCCAGUCGUGGGCUUGUGCUGGGAGUAAGAAAUUGGGGCAGCCGCAAUGGCAUGCGGUACUGACCCUAAUUUCGAGGAGACCAUAACUUGUGCAUUGGGCUAGAUACCCUUUGUACGAUUAUGGAUUAAACCUAUAUUGUGGUGAUGAGCUAUGUAUAGAGUAGCCUGCCUUGAGUGGUGUAGGUAGAGGCUUUGCUGAAACCUAUGUUGCAAAAGAGGCUAAAGAGGUACCCAACUGUGGAGGAAAGCUCCUAGACUAUUUGAAAAAGGUAUUUUAAGGAUUAUAGUAUGGUCUAAGUGGUAAUUUAGUACUGUAUAUGGUGACAAUAUAGAUGAAGGGUUAAAGGGAAACCGUCAGCAUGGCGACGUGCUGAUCCUUUCAUUGGAAAUCAUACUAAACCUAAGCCAUAAGGUUUACUUAAAAUACCACCACAUUAUACAAUUUAGGA